AUUGAACGCUGGCGGCAGGCUUAACACAUGCAAGUCGAGCGGGGUGAUGGUGCUUGCACUAUCACUUAGCGGCGGACGGGUGAGUAAUGCUUAGGAAUCUGCCUAUUAGUGGGGGACAACAUCUCGAAAGGGAUGCUAAUACCGCAUACGUCCUACGGGAGAAAGCAGGGGAUCACUUGUGACCUUGCGCUAAUAGAUGAGCCUAAGUCGGAUUAGCUAGUUGGUGGGGUAAAGGCCUACCAAGGCGACGAUCUGUAGCGGGUCUGAGAGGAUGCUCCGCCACACUGGGACUGAGACACGGCCCAGACUCCUACGGGAGGCAGCAGUGGGGAAUUUUGGACAAUGGACGCAAGUCUGAUCCAGCCAUGCCGCGUGCGGGAAGAAGGCCUUCGGGUUGUAAACCGCUUUUGUCAGGGAAGAAAUCUUCUGAGUUAAUACCUCGGGAGGAUGACGGUACCUGAAGAAUAAGCACCGGCUAACUACGUGCCAGCCGCCGCCGUAA
rnacentral:rRNA from 1 species